GAUGAACGCUGGCGGCGUGCCUAAUACAUGCCAGUCGAGCGAACAGACGAGGAGCUUGCUCCUCUGACGUUAGCGGCGGACGGGUGAGUAACACGUGGAUAACCUACCUAUAAGACUGGGAUAACUUCGGGAAACCGGAGCUAAUACCGGAUAAUAUAUUGAACCGCAUGGUUCAAUAGUGAAAGACGGUUUUGCUGUCACUUAUAGAUGGAUCCGCGCCGCAUUAGCUAGUUGGUAAGGUAACGGCUUACCAAGGCAACGAUGCGUAGCCGACCUGAGAGGGUGAUAGGCCACACUGGAACUGAGACACGGUCCAGACUCCUCCGGGAGGCAGCAGUAGGGAAUCUUCCGCAAUGGGCGAAAGCCUGACGGAGCAACGCCGCGUGAGUGAUGAAGGUCUUCGGAUCGUAAAACUCUGUUAUUAGGGAAGAACAAAUGUGUAAGUACCUAUGCACGUCUUGACGGUACCUAAUCAGAAAGCCACGGCUAACUACGUG
rnacentral:rRNA from 1 species